rnacentral:rRNA from 1 species
GAUUGAACGCUGGCGGCAGGCCUAACACAUGCAAGUCGAGCGGGGUUUUCGGACCUAGCGGCGGACGGGUGAGUAAUGCGUAGGAAGCUGCCCGAUAGAGGGGGAUACCGAGUUGGAAACGACUGUUAAUACCGCAUAAUGUCUACGGACCAAAGUGUGGGACCUUCGGGCCACAUGCUAUCGGAUGCGCCUACGUGGGA